GACCAAUGGUCUGACUCAGUAUAUGGCAGCUUCCUAUCUUCCUAUGUACCGUUUGCUUUGCACGCAGGAGGUCCCGGGUUCAGUCUCCACGGUCUUGAGUGAGAAAGAGCUCUUUGGGUUCGCUGCUGGUCCAAGGUGAGACGAGGCUAAAUGGGCCCCUACUCUAACCCAGGGGUGGGCCAGCGUGGCCCUCCCACUUGUGUCUGGACUACAACUCCCAUCACCCCCUGCCACAAAAAUACACUGUGGGUGGGGAACAUGGGAGUUGUAGCCCAACAUCUGGAGGGCCAAGCUUGCCGCCCCCCCCCCCCAAAUUCUCUAACCCUAACCUAAGGCAGCUCUGGAUGUUCAUCAAUGCACAUGUCAGCACCAGGCUGCAUAGAAACGGAAGUGCUGCCCCUCAUGUGGGGAAAUGGGGCGGUGGGGGGGGGAGCCAGAUACGUCUGGGGCUAACAGGGAACUGGCUCCCCGGGACCCCUUCUUCCUGGCUUUGGCUAGUGCUGGGAGAUUGAUUCUGGGUCUCCCCCCUUCCUUGAGAGUAGACCAGUGCUGUUCAGCAGGGUGGAAGCCAAAGUGAGGGCAGGCAGAAAGUGGUAGCCUUGGGCCGCCUGGUCCGACAGGCUGGCUAAUAGAAGCACACCAGGUUCAUUCUGUGGUUGGGGCUGAGUCCUGGAGCACGUGAAGCAAAGAGUGUCUCCAAGUAGGGUGUAUAUAUAUUAAAAAAUCCAACAAUGUUAAGAAUGUCCCUGCUGGAUCAGACCAAAUCUCCACCUGGUCUGGUAUUCUGGUUGUCACAUUGGCCAGCCAGAUAACUCUGGGAAGCUUAGGAACAGGGUGUGAAGGCAACAGCCCUUGAGUUUAUCCUUAGCGUCUGCUGCUCGGAGGUAUACUGCACCUGGACACAGAGGCUCCAUUUAGCUACGAUGGCUACUGGCCAUUGAUAGACCUCCUCCUCCUCCAUUCCUUUCAAAGCUAUCCCCAUUUAAGAGCAGUGGCCAUCACCGCACCUUGUAGCAGAGAGUUCCGCAAGCUGCCGCUGUGUUGCAUACCCACACCCAAGGCUUGCUUUGCAGCAGAAAUGGUGCGUGAGGCGAUCCUGCUCUGCAGCCAGCUGCUGCUGGGCCAACCUUUUUGGGUUUGGGGGCUUGAAGUGAGAAAUCAGUUUCAUGGCAUGCUUUCCCCCACAACUGGUCUGUCACGCCAGCAAGCCGUGGGUCUCCUGCCAGCACCGGCCAUUGUUCCCCGCGAUACCUUUGCAGCCGCUGUUCUCCAAGGGGAGGGAUCUCAGCGGCCCGCCUGCCUCUCCGUAGCCAAGUUCUGCUGCUGGAUCCUGCAAAGGGCCAAUGGAGAGGGGUAGCGCUCUGGAGAGACAGACCCACUGCAUGUCCAGCCAUUCAGCCUGUCUUAUAUUUUUUAAUCUUUAUUUAUUAACAUAUUUUCAUGCCGCCCAAAACUUACGUCUCUGGGCGGUUUACGACAAAAUCCCCCAGUCUCAGGUUUUCUGGAGGAAUUCCGUACCUCCUUAAUUCCUCCGGUGUUUGCCUCAUCUCCUCACCCGCCCAGUGAGAAGGCUCUGAGGAUCUAUAUAACUUGGCGGCAGAGCUUCUGCUUUGCAUGCAAAAGGUCUCUGGCUCACCCCUGUGUGUCAGGUUUUUAAUAGCAUGGCUCGAAAAGACCCCAGCCCUGCAGCUGUGGAGAGCUGCUGUGAGCUCCUUGCCUGGCAACGCUCAAAAUAAUCUUUCUAGCUUCCCAGAUGCCUCCGGGAAGCCCGGGGGCAGCAGGACCCCUCUCUUGCCACUUCCUCCCAGCAUGUGAUGCUCUGAGGUAGACUGGCCCUGAUCUUGGAGGUUCCAUCUAGCUCUUAUGCCAGUUCUCCUCCUGCUCUUCCAGGAAUUUACGCGAUCCCCUUUCAUCAGAACCUAAGACAUGUCUUCUUGCUGGAUCAGGCCCAAGGAGGCCUAUCUAGUCCAGCAUCCUGUUUCACACAGUGGGCCAGCGGAUGCCUCUGGGGGGAGCCCACAGGCUUCCAAAGCCCUUUCAAACAGUGGCCAUCACCACAACUGGCAGCCAGCCAGUUCAAUGCUUUGUUGGAAGAACAACUUCUGUGUGUGAGAGAGAGAGAGAACGAGAAUGGGGCAGGGGGAGGAAAUUAGAAGCCGCACACAGCAGGUUGUGUGAUCUCGCAAGUGCAGAAAUUCAGUGUCUGGCAGCCUCGCUCUUCUAGCUCAUUAAGAAUCUCAGCAGUAGGGUAGAAAGUGCUCUAGCAACUCAGGAUGUCAGCAGGUGGUGAGCUUUUGGGCAGGUGCACCUCUCUCUCUCUGCUGUUGAUGUGAUGUUCCUGACAUCAGAAAAAAAAAGUGCUAACGGUCUUCCAAGACUGUACCACUUCAGGGGGCGGCCCCUCUCCCUGAAAACCGGACUCUUCCCUGCAUGUAGAAAACUAGAAUUUGCGGUGCCUUGCCCCGAAGUGGCGUCUUUCUACAUGCAGGGUGUGUGUCUGGUCUGGCGGAACAUUCAGACCUGUGGCCGCCCGGGAGCCCAGGUGGACUCUCGCACCACAGUAGCUUGGCUGUUCCUUGCCAGUUGGCCAGAAGGACUUGCCUGUGCCUGGUGUGUGGUGAGAAGCUCAGCUGUCUGGGCUGCAGGAAAAGCCCUGCUGCGUGACUUCCCCAGAUGUGCCCAGCCUGCCGGAUCAUGGCGUCUGCAGCUGCUGGCCACUCCGCCCUCCCUCCCUUGCUGCUCAGGGCGUGCAAACUGGGAUGAAACCCAUCCAGUGUGCGGAAACGCGGAUGCCUUCUGCCUCGAUUGCCCUUGGUACCCACUCCCCGCCCCCCUUCUCCCUCUCUGCUUCGGAGACCGGCACGGGGGAUUUAAAAGGCCCCCUUCCCUGCUAACUUUGCCUGCCUCUCCGUUUCCAGGCUGGUGGCUCGGCUGCUUAUCUUCCUUUAAAUUAAGGGAUUGCUCACAAAGCCAUCCCCACCGGCAACGAAACAUGGCAUGUAAGCUAAGCGGGACUUUAAAGUGGGUCAGAGUGUGUGUGUGUGUGUGUGUGUGUGUGUGUGUGUGUGUGUGUGUGUGUGUGUGUGUGUAAGCGGGACUUUAAAGUGGGUCAGAGUCUGUGUGUGUGUGUGUGUGUGUGUGUGGUGUGCUUCAGAUUUGAAUAUUCAGGAGCAGUGAUUGAUGGGGAGGUUAUUCUUGGCAGCCGUAACAGGAUGAACCUCCUGAUCGGGGUGGGGCUUUGUGAGAGUGGGGAGUGGGGGCAUAUGGGUCAGCAACUGGUGGCCCCUGAGUCGCAUCUGGCCCCUUGUGGGGGGCUCUCGUUGGCCCCCAGGCCACAUCUGGGCCCAGGUGCCUCCCACUUCGGGAUGCCCAAGGCGAGAGGAUUAUAUAGAAAGAGCCGCAGCUGUGGCACCCAUUGGCAGCCUGCUUUCUGUGAUGCUAGGGGGUGAGGGUGGGCCCUGAGUGUGGGUCACCUGCCGUCCCCAGGGGGGCAACCCCAGGGGAACGGAACGCUGCACUGUACCCCAUUCUGUGCAUGGUUGGUUCCUGCGCCCCACACAAUUGCAUCCAGGGGUCCCCAGCAAAGAUUUCUCAGGCCCCUCCCACCCAUGGGGCUUCCUUCUGCCGAGGCUUUUUGAGCUGCCUGCACGGAGCGUUUUCGGCCCCCUGCCCUCUCCGUGGCCCACCCUGACUGGCAGCGGCCCGCCAGGGUGUCAGGCUCAGAGGUCUUUCCCAGCCCUACCGGGAGGUGCUGCCAGGCACUGAAACUGGGGCCUUCCACUUGCCGAGCAGCGGCCCCACUGCCAUCCCCGGUGGUUGGGAAAGGCCUCUGCCGGAGAUCCCAGCAAACCCUCCUGGCCGGGAGGGGUUGGCGGUCCAGCUCAGUUCCCGACCUCCCUGCAAGCCCCUCUCUCCCACUCUGAACCAGUCAAGUGCUGUCACGUGGCCUCUGCGUAAGGAACCCCUGCUUGGUGCGUCUCUGCCCGUUGCCCGCCAGCCUGCUUUGGUUCAGAGCCCCUGUUGAAUGGCUGCCUGUGGUUGGAGUGAGGGGUGUGUGCUUGAGAGCCAACAGCCUGGCGAAUGCAGUGCUUGCCGCCCCCGCCCGAUUGCAUGUGGGGCCACAUUCCGCCCCCUGCUCCUCACCCUGGGAUGACACCUGUGCAAACGGAAAGGAUUUUUGCCAUAAAAGGAAAGUACCUGUCCUCUUAUGACAGCAGUAGCCAUUUAUAGGGGGGGAUAUCUCUUUAUUUCGUGUCCUGGUUCUCUUUUCCUUCGUCAGGUUCUCUUAAGUGUGGGUUUUGGCCCUACCAGCGAGGCUGCUGAAAACCUUUUCCAGCCCAGCCCUCUCUGAUUAUUGCCUUCGUUUAGAAAGGAGAGGGGAAAGCAUUAUUUUUUAUUGGCUCUGGCCAACCACUUACAUACCCAGAUGCCACUUGUGCAUCUCUUUUCUUUUUUAAUUUAUUCGAGAUGACUCUAAUUGUAAUUUUCAUUGCAGUAUCUUGUAUUUUUAUUUGCGAUUUCAAGAAAUGUGAAGAAAAAAUAGAGGUGGGGUGUGGGGUGGUGGUGUCAAAAGACAGUUUCCAACAGUGUUGCAUUCUUCAUUUUCUUUAGAGCUAACCACUCUAAAAUUUGUUUGGUAAAAGUCAAUUAGUGUAACUAAUUGUAACAUAUUCUUUUAAAUAAAUUGAUUUAUUGAUGAAAUA